AGCGAACGCUGGCGGCAGGCCUAACACAUGCAAGUCGAACGAACUCUUCGGAGUUAGUGGCGGACGGGUGAGUAACACGUGGGAACGUGCCCUUUGGUACGGAAUAACUCAGGGAAACUUGAGCUAAUACCGUAUGUGCCCUUCGGGGGAAAGAUUUAUCGCCAUUGGAGCGGCCCGCGUCUGAUUAGCUAGUUGGUGAGGUAACGGCUCACCAAGGCGACGAUCAGCAGCUGGUCUGAGAGGAUGACCAGCCACAUUGGGACUGAGACACGGCCCAAACUCCUACGGGAGGCAGCAGUGGGGAAUCUUGCGCAAUGGGCGAAAGCCUGACGCAGCCAUGCCGCGUGGAUGAUGAAGGUCUUAGGAUUGUAAAAUCCUUUCACCGGUGAAGAUAAUGACUGUAGCCGGAGAAGAAGCCCCGGCUAACUUCGUGCCAGCCGCCGCGGUAAUAC
rnacentral:rRNA from 1 species